rnacentral:rRNA from 1 species
UACGUAGGGUGCGAGCGUUAAUCGGAAUUACUGGGCGUAAAGCGUGCGCAGGCGGUUCGUUGUGUCGGCGGUGAAAGCCCCGGGCUCAACCUGGGAAUGGCCGUUGAAACUGGCGAACUGGAGUGUGGCAGAGGGGGGUGGAAUUCCGCGUGUAGCAGUGGAAUGCGUAGAGAUCCGGAAGAACACCAGUGGCGAAGGCGGCCCGCUGGGCAGUGGCUGACGCUGAGGCGCGACAGCGUGGGGAGCAAACAGG